rnacentral:rRNA from 1 species
GUGUAGGUGGUAAAUUAAGUCGAUUGUGAAAUCCCUUGGCUUAACCAAGGAACUGCAUUCGAAACUGAUUUGCUUGAGUGAUAGAGAGGUAAGUGGAAUUCCCGGUGUAACAGUGAAAUGUGUAGAUAUCGGGAGGAACACCAGUGGCGAAGGCGACUUACUGGCUAUCAACUGACACUGAAACGCGAGAGCUAGGGGAGCAAACAGGAUUAGAUACCCUGGUAGUCCUAGCCGUAAACGAUGUUCACUAGGUGUCGGGCCUCUGGGUUCGGUGCCGCCGUU